CCUACGGGGGGCUGCAGUGGGGAAUAUUGGACAAUGGGCGAAAGCCUGAUCCAGCCAUGCCGCGUGAGUGAAGAAGGCCUUCGGGUUGUAAAGCUCUUUCGGCGGGGACGAUGAUGACGGUACCCGCAUAAGAAGCCCCGGCUAACUUCGUGCCAGCAGCCGCGGUAAUACGAAGGGGGCUAGCGUUGUUCGGAAUUACUGGGCGUAAAGCGCGCGUAGGCGGCGACCUUUGUCAGAGGUGAAAUCCCGAGGCUCAACUUCGGAAUUGCCUUUGA
rnacentral:rRNA from 1 species